rnacentral:rRNA from 1 species
CCCUUAGAUGUUCUGGGCUGCACGCGCGCUACAAUAAUACGCACAGCGAGUAUCACCGAGCUCGAAAGGGCAAGGUAAACAAUAGAAAAGGUACUGUAAUGGUUAUAGAUCCUUGUAAUUAUUGAUCUUCAACGAGGAAUUCCUAGUAAGUAUGUGUCAUCAUCACGCACUGAUUACGUCCCUGCCCUUUGUACACACCGCCCGUCGCUACUACCGAUUGAACGGUUUAGUGAGGGCCUCGGAUUGGUCUCGGCCCGCUCUUUACCGGGCGGCGCCGUUGGUCGAGAAGACGCUCGAACUUGAUCGUUUAGAGGAAGUAAAAGUCGUAACA